CGUGACGGCGCGAGCAGGUGCGAAAGCAGGUCAUAGUGAUCCGGUGGUUCUGAAUGGAAGGGCCAUCGCUCAACGGAUAAAAGGUACUCCGGGGAUAACAGGCUGAUACCGCCCAAGAGUUCAUAUCGACGGCGGUGUUUGGCACCUCGAUGUCGGCUCAUCACAUCCUGGGGCUGAAGUAGGUCCCAAGGGUAUGGCUGUUCGCCAUUUAAAGUGGUACGCGAGCUGGGUUUAGAACGUCGUGAGACAGUUCGGUCCCUAUCUGCCGUGGGCGCUGGAGAACUGAGGGGGGCUGCUCCUAGUACGAGAGGACCGGAGUGGACGCAUCACUGGUGUUCGGGUUGUCAUGCCAAUGGCACUGCCCGGUAGCUAAAUGCGGAAGAGAUAAGUGCUGAAAGCAUCUAAGCACGAAACUUGCCCCGAGAUGAGUUCUCCCUGAGACUUAGAGUCUCCUGAAGGAACGUUGAAGACGACGACGUUGAUAGGCCGGGUGUGUAAGCGCAGCGAUGCGUUGAGCUAACCGGUACUAAUGAACCGUGAGGCUUAACCUUACAACGCCGAAG
rnacentral:rRNA from 2 species